CCCUAUCAGGUGAUACGCGUUUACAGAUUGUAACGCAACAUUGUCAGAAACCUUCAGACUUGCUUUGUUCUUAGUUUAUAACUUCGUCUCAACUGCAUGGGACGCACGGAAGGGAUUUGCAAAAAGGCGGUCGUGACCUGUUUGAAGAUGGAGCUGAGUGGUCACCUUCACGCCUCGGCCGCGUUACUCCCAGGGAAAUUGGCUCCAGAACCGACUUAAUAAAAGACUGGACCUGAACGCAUUGGUAAAGAGAAAUAAACCCGAUUAUCCAGCCAUAUAAACUCUCUCAGAUACACGGCUACUCAACUAUAAGUGAGGAGGAUAAUUCUGGCGAAGAACGAUGAGACAUAUCAAAAGACCACCACCUGACAGAGACGGUGGACUUCAGCUCCUUACCACUUCAAGGGACGGACUUAACUAAUAGGCAGGCUACUAGUUUCAGACUUUGGACCGCUAUGUUGGUAUACAGCUAUCAAAGAGAAAGCAUAAGGGCAAUUUGAACGCAUCAGAGUUGAGAGUGACUUUGCGUAAUUGAAUCAUCACUCUGAUGCAAAUCACGACGACCGAAGUCACACCUAUUUGAGUUACAUUUUAUGAUUACUUUGUUAAAUAAACACCACAUCAAAAUUGUUUAAAUUUAGCUGUUUAGAGCCUAUUCUAUAUCAAGCGCAAAUUGUUAGAAGAAUGAAACAUUUUGAAGAAGAACCAUAAAGUUUACUUUGAACUUUAGAUAAAAUAGGGUUAUUUUUAAUCGAUGUAAAAAGUAAUUAAAUUUACCAGGAGACAUUUUCACUAGAUCCACAAUACAAAAUCUGUACAUUAAUUUUGGAGCUGAAACGUAAGACCAAACAGGUCUGUCAGUAACGUGCUCAUUUUGCAAAUGACAAUAAUUUCGUAAGACCAAUACAGUCUUGCAAAAGAAUCGAAAUUAAAACUAAUUCAACAUUGAUCAUUUAAACACUAACAAUUCAUUAAUCACUUGAAUCUGAUAUCCAAGUUUAACCAAACUAAAUAACAUCUAAUAGCAAGUGACUAAUAAACCCUUGGAUCACAUCUUCAUACAGAUUAUGAAAUUAAAAAUUGAAAAAAAUAUUGAAACACCGUAAAAUAAAAAGACCCGAUUGAGAUCACUCAAUGAAGUAUCUGAAAACACGCUCGGUACAGAGUUUCGAUUCUCGGUAGAGACAAAAAUUUCCUUUUCGCCACUGUAUCAUGGGAUCAACCUGCAUAAUCUCCUAUCCAGUACUUACAGGGGGCGCUUUCCGUGAACUGAAAUGACAGACACGUGAAGCUAAUAAAUUACCUUCACAUAACACCAAAGCUUGGAAUGAGUAGACUACCUAGACUUCCAGCUACUCGCUUCUUUACGUCUCCAUGGCACGGUGCUUAGACACAGGGGCAUUUUAAAACUGUAACGUUAAAUAAGUGAGUUUUUAGGGUAUAAACUGGUUUUAAAUGGAUUGAGAUAUGUUACAGAACAAAAGAAAUUUAUAAUAAUUGUAUUAAAUUCUGAAAGAAGACUCCGUAGAAUUCAAAUGUAUACGGUUCAUAUUUCUGAACACUGUGUAAGCAUUGUCUUAAGAUGAAUUACUUCGUACCAGCCGCAUGACACCCAUCUCAUCAGAACUUUCUUUGCCAGUAACCACAACCUUUGGUUGUCCCUUUUUCUUCUUUUUAUUAUUUAGCUUUGAAGAAUACUCAGGAAAUUAAGUUUCAAAAAUAGAGACUGACGUGGGGGGAGAAGAAAUUGAUAAGCUCUCAAACGGCAUCAGUGAGCGUCUGUUACCGCAUUAAAACACAGUGUUUUGCUCGCAAGUAUAUAUCCAACUCUACGCACUCUCAAGAGUGUAGUUCUCUGGUUCUCAGGAUGGAUCGUACUCAGUCCAUUCCACGCAAAUUUAUUUUUACAUCUAACAAAACAGAUGUCACAAGAUGUAUGACUACUGAUUCCAUGGAGCAGUAUUCGUCCUGAGAAGCUGAUAGUAGCUUAGAGAAUGACGGAUAUGGAAUUCACAACCGGCGUUCACUUUGUGAACUUGACGGAAGGAACGAAUAAAAGGAACUACAGCCCUCAUAUUCAGGGAAGCGAGAAUCCAAAUGACGCAGGGAGCGUUUUCGUGGUUCAAAUGACAGGCUGUUUUCCAUUGUCAAAGAGCUGCUCAAGAAAUAGUGAGACACAUCACGGAAAUGCGCCUUAUCUUUCUGGUCUCUCUGUAAGACGUCAAUCAAGAAACCAGGAGCUGCCUGUUAUCACAGCUCCACCGCCCUCUCUCCUUUUGAAAAACAAUAACGAACAAGCGAAGACCCAAACCGUAGUAAAACCGUUAUCUUAAAUUUUAAGAAAGACAUGCGAAGUCAUGAGGAGGAAAUUAAAAACUUCGGGAGUGUUGGGCAAGCAAUUUAAAUUGGCAGUUACAGAAAAAGCUACCCUUUCACAUCGAAACAUGCCUGAAUAUCUCCUGUUACCCGCUUUCUUACAACCGCGUUGCUUUCUGGUAAGAUACUGAUGUGCUGUUGGCCUGUUUCAUUGCAUCACUUCUUAUUUUCAGUGUUAUUUAUGAUUUAUUUUCUCUCAUUUAAUUAAAUGUUACAAUAAACCAGGAAUGUGAACACGAUAACGAAUUUCAGAACUAUACUGCAUUGCUGUUAUAGAACCAAGAACAAACGUUUGUGUAAUGUGAUUGCCAGUCAGGAGAAACGAGAAUUUCGAUUUGAAGAUAUCCAAUUAAACUUUGAUAAGCAAAUGUUUGUAAAUUAUCUUAAUUUUGUUUAUUUGCAAUGAACCUAUUCUUUAAUACG